rnacentral:rRNA from 1 species
AACGAACGCUGGCGGCGUGCUUAACACAUGCAAGUCGAGCGAGAAAGGGGGGGCAACCCCCUGAGUAGAGCGGCGCACGGGUGAGUAACGCGUGGGUAACCUACCCCCAGGCGGGGGAUAACCACUCGAAAGGGUGGCUAAUACCGCAUGAGACCACGGGAUCUUCGGAUCCUGAGGCUAAAGAUUGCACCGGCUUGCCGGUGCCGUCACCAGGGGAUGGGCCCGCGUCCGAUUAGCUAGUUGGCGAGGUAAUGGCUCACCAAGGCUACGAUCGGUAGCUGGUCUGAGAGGAUGAUCAGCCACACUGGAACUGAAACACGGUCCAGACUCCUACGGGAGGCAGCAGUGAGGAAUAUUGCGCAAUGGGGGAAACCCUGACGCAGCAACGCCGCGUGGGUGAAGAAGGCCUUCGGGUCGUAAAGCCCUUUCGGACGGGACGAACGCUUUGCGGUGAAAGCCGCGAAGUCUGACGGUAC